AGAGAAGAUAAAAUGUCCGCCCAGUACCUAUUUAGGAGUGCAACAACUGUGUUUUUGAAUUUGUAUUACAGUGGAUAAUGCACUCCCAAAUAGGUACUGGAAGGAAAGUCCGAACACCAUAGGGCAGGAUACUUCCUAACGGGAAGUCUUGGUAACAGGGAGAUAGCUCCACAGAAAUAAACUACCCCGCCCCUAUUGGGGAAAUCUAAAUUAUAUGACUUCCCCAAUAGGGCGAGGAAAAGGUGAAAUGGCGGUGUAAGAGACCACCAGGUCCUGGUGUGAAUCAGGAUGCUCGGAAUGCCUUAUCCGGUGCAAUGCCAAGUAGAAGAACGUGAAUUUGCCCGAUUCGUUAAGUUCUUGGGUGGGCAGCUAAAAUCGGUUCGGCUUUUAUCGAAUCUCAGUUGAGAAUAGCAAUAUCCGAUUUAGAGAAAUGGACAUUAUGCUGUUUGUUAGACAGCAUACAGAAUUCGGCUUAAUAUCUUCUUUGACA
rnacentral:RNase_P_RNA from 1 species